rnacentral:lncRNA from 1 species
CUUUCUUUUCAGCCCUAAGAGUUCUCGUUGCAUCUCAGCUUUGCUUCUUCUUGGUUUCGUACUAACUGGUUCAACUCUUCCAGAUGAAUCACCCGCAUGAUUAUUAUCUUCAUCAUUCCAGCCUAAGCUCUUAAGCAUCGAGAGGUAACUCGGAUCAUUUAACUCCUCAUCUUUUACAUCUACCUCUCCAUCAUCAUCCAUAGAAUCAACAGUGAUAUCAGGCAUAUCUUUUUCACGAAUAGCCUUUCCUGCUGCAGCUAACUUUGACGAAUUGUCAAGCUCUUCAAGCUGCUCUUGGAGAACCGCUCCUUUCUUCAAUUCCUCUUCAGCUUCGUUAAACUUCCCUUCCCUUUUCAAAGUAAGCGCUUUCUUUUUCACUGCAAGAAGCUCCCUCUGAAUCGCUAGCCUGCUUCUGGGAGGAUGGUUCAGGCUCGUAUCAGCAGCUUGUGAGGAUGUAUCAGCAGCAGACUCUAGUUCCCUCUCAAGUAGUUUUGCCUUCUUCAGUGUAGCCAAGGCCUCUGCAGCAUUUCCAGCUCGUUUGAGAGUAAGAGCCUCUCUUUUCAAUGCCUGAAUCUCAGCUAAACGUUCUUCUCUGUUGUUAGGAGGAGACUGAGUGUGGAGAUUCUCACGGCGACCAGGAUCCUCGGCCCAGCCCAAAGAUUUCAAGGCAGCAGCAAUAGCUGGAUCCUCCAUAUCUUCAUCUGUGACAUCAAAUUCACCAUCAACUCCAAUAUCAUCUACAGUUCCCACAAGGUUACCAAUGUCAAAACCAUGGCUUCCCUCAUAUUGCGGUAACAGGUCAUCUUCUUUGUCAUCAUCCAUACUGUUGAUAAGCGCGGAGAGCUCAUCAUCAGAUUCAUCAGCCCCACCCAAAAGCUCCUGCUCUUCAAUCUCCCUUUCCAAAACUUUAGCUCUCUUCAGCUCCUCUUUAGCUUCUGCAAGCUUCCCUUCACGUUUAAGCGCAAGUGCCUUUUUCUUAAUGGCAAUCACCUGACUCUUGUCGAUUCCCCCUCCACUCUUCUGUUGUGGGUUAGUCGUCCUUCCAGGGAUCUCACGGAGAAGAGACGAAAACUCGCCCUCCAAACUCACAGUAGCUGGUUUCUUAUCUUCAUCAUCAGACCAACCAAGAUCCCUCAGCUCAGCUGCCAAAUCAUCUUUACGUGGAGGCUUUUGUGAUUUGCUAGAUUCUUUAGUAGCAGCCUUGUUCUUCUGCGUCGCGGCGGCGACAUCUCGCAUGGACAGUGCUCUUUUCCGGUCCUUCCUCAAGGAUAUCUCAAGCGCGUCCGCCUCGACUCUGAUAAACUGUUAAAAAAAACAUUGAGGUUAUGUUACAAAAAUCCAACUAAAAUGGAGAGUUGAUCAAAUUCACGCAAGAGCAUUUAGCUUCUUUUCAUACAGUUUUGCUCUUCGAAGAGCAUCUAAUGCUUCAGCUUGCUUCCCUGAACGUUUCAGGGUCACAGCUUUUAUCUUCUCUGCUUUGAUGCGUUCUUCGAGUUGACUUCUCUCCUGGCUAUUAUCACUCUCCUUGGCUGGACUCGGUUUCACAGCUUCACGCACUGGUUUUGGAGUAGCUUGUGUCGUGUCUGGCUUACUCGCCGACGCAUUCGCAGGACUGUCUAGUCCGAUAGCCUUGAGGGCAGACAAGAGUUGAGGAUCCAGAAAAUCUUCCACUGCUACAUUAUCAUCUACCGGUUCUGAUUUUGAGGAUGUUGAAUCCUCUAGCUGCGCUUCAAGAGUUUUGGCAAUUUCGAACUCAGCUUCAGCUUCUUCCAUCUUACCUUCCCUACGAAGCUUCAUGGCUACACGUUUGUGGCUUAGGGACUCUUGCUGCAGCUUAAAACGGUCACGACUAGACAUUGGCUUUGGAGCAGCUGAACUUGAAGGGCUAUUCUCUUUCUCUCGUACAACAGGAGGCUGCGUUGCAGAAACCAAACCAUCUAGUCCGAGUUUUUCAGGGGAAGGGUUUUCUCCUUCUUGUAGUCUCCUCUCCAACAAUUUCGCUUGUUGCAAUGCCUCUUUAGCUUCACUCAUCUUUCCUUCUUUCUUCAAAGCAAGGGCCUUUCUCUUAUGAGCCAGUAUAUCUUGCUUAAGCGUGUUCGGAGGAGAUGUAUUUUGAACGGAAGCUGAUUCAAUACUACCAGGUGCUGACUCUUCACGUCUCACUGUUUGAGACCUCUCACACUGCUCACCAGUCAGCAAAUCCAUCAUACUUGGUUGCUGCUGGCCUGAUUGUGAAACAACUCUACCUUCACCCAUCCCAUGUGUGCUAAAGGAACCGGACUUAGCAGGGGAGAUAAAGUCACCUAACAAGUCAUAGUUACCAUGAGAAGCACUUGCAGAUUUGACUGACUUGUCCUCCAUUUGAGAUCCAACUAAUAAAUCAACGUCCAUAUAGUUUGUAGGAUUGAUGGUAGAAGCUGAGACUUUUGUCUCAAACUGCUGACCGCUCAAAGCUUCACCCAUUGGCUCAUCCUUGGGGGUCUCCAAUUCAGCUAGUUGUGCUUCCAAAACUUUGGCCUUACUGUACAAUUCAUCAGCCUCUCCAGUGUUCCCUUGACGCUUGAAGGCAAGUGCUUUCCUUUUUAAGUCCAGAAGUUCUCUUUGGAUUUGUCCCUUUGUUUUGGCAGCUACCCGUGGACCAGUAGACUGCAUAGAGCUAAAUGCAGCUUCUUGUUUCUUUGGUUCUUCAUCCUCCCAUCCCAAGUUCUUAAGAGUCGACAAUAGUGCUGGAUCCUUCAUAUCAUUUUCUGUAACACUAUCAUCUUCUACACUCAUCCCACUAUCAGUAGAUGUUUUCUUGCCUGAAUCAAUCUCUACCAACUGGGCUUCCAAUAUUUUAGUCUGUUUUUGAACUUCCUCUGCUUCAUCAACAUUACCCUGACGCCUCAAAGUUAAAGCCUUUCUUUUCAGCCCUAAGAGUUCUCGUUGCAUCUCAGCUUUGCUUCUUCUUGGUUUCGUACUAACUGGUUCAACUCUUCCAGAUGAAUCACCCGCAUGAUUAUUAUCUUCAUCAUUCCAGCCUAAGCUCUUAAGCAUCGAGAGGUAACUCGGAUCAUUUAACUCCUCAUCUUUUACAUCUACCUCUCCAUCAUCAUCCAUAGAAUCAACAGUGAUAUCAGGCAUAUCUUUUUCACGAAUAGCCUUUCCUGCUGCAGCUAACUUUGACGAAUUGUCAAGCUCUUCAAGCUG